UCCCACUUUACUGUCCUUACGCAGAUCACGGACAUCUGAUUGACUUUACUGCACCGUAGUUAAGUGAAAGUAGGUGAAGUAAAAGCUACCAGCAGG